rnacentral:rRNA from 1 species
GACGAACGCUGGCGGCGUGCUUAACACAUGCAAGUCGAACGAAGUGGCGAAAGGGUGAGUAACGCGUAAUCAACCUGCCCUUCAGCGGGGGACAACAGAUGGAAACGACUGCUAAUACCCCAUACUGAUGCAGGGGAUUCCGUCUGAAUAGCCAGUUGGAGGGGUAACGGCCCACCAAGGCGAUGAUCAGUAGCCGGGGUGAGGGGAGUAACGGCGAACUGGGGACUGGGAUACGGACCAUACUCCUACGGGAGGUAGCAGUGGGGAAGCUGCAGGAAUGGAAGAAAGUCUGACGGAGCAACGCCGCGUGAGGGAUGACGGACCUCGGGUUGGAAAGCUCUGUUAAUGGGGACGCGGUAACGGAACAGAAAGCAACGGCUAACUACGUGCCAGCCGCCGCGGUAAUUC